rnacentral:rRNA from 1 species
GACGAACGCUGGCGGCGUGCCUAAUACAUGCAAGUAGAACGCACAGUUUAUACCGUAGCUUGCUACACCAUAGACUGUGAGUUGCGAACGGGUGAGUAACGCGUAGGUAACCUGCCUGGUAGCGGGGGAUAACUAUUGGAAACGAUAGCUAAUACCGCAUAAUAUUAAUUAUUGUAUGAUAAUUAAUUGAAAGGUGCAAUUGCACCACUACCAGAUGGACCUGCGUUGUAUUAGCUAGUAGGUGAGGUAACGGCUCACCUAGGCGACGAUACAUAGCCGACCUGAGGGGGUGAUCGGCCACACUGGGACUGAGACACGGCCCAGACUCCUACGGGAGGCAGCAGUAGGGAAUCUUCGGCAAUGGACGAAAGUCUGACCGAGCAACGCCGCGUGAGUGAAGAAGGUUUUCGGAUCGUAAAGCUCUGUUGUAAGAGAAGAACGGGUGUGAGAGUGGAAAGUUCACACUGUGACGGUAUCUUACCAGAAAGGGACGGCUAACUACGUG